rnacentral:rRNA from 1 species
CGGCGACGGGUGAGUAACACUGGGUAACCUACCUAUAAGACUGGGACAACUUCGGGAAACCGGAGCUAAUACCGGAUAAGAUAUCGAACCGCAUGGUUCGAUAGUGAAAGAUGGUUUUGCUAUCACUUAUAGAUGGACCCGCGCCGUAUUAGCUAGUUGGUGAGGUAACGGCUCACCAAGGCAACGAUACGUAGCCGACCUGAGAGGGUGAUCGGCCACACUGGAACUGAGACACGGUCCAGACUCCUACGGGAGGCAGCAGCA